CAACAGUCCCAACACCCGCCAAGAGAAGGAGCAGUGCACUGUGGUCAGAGAUGCUGGACAUCACCAUGAAGGAGUCUCUCACCACCAGGGAGAUCAGACGGCAGGAGGCAAUAUAUGAAAUGUCCCGAGGUGAACAGGAUUUAAUUGAGGAUCUCAAACUUGCAAGAAAGGUCAGUAAAUAACUUUUUAUCAGAUGCCCUAGUUUUUAAAAAUUACAUUUCACAAAAUCUAAAGGAUAGUUUUCUUAACCUUUAGAAGUAGAAGAAUAGAAAAUAUCUACUGGUGAAUACAUUUUUUUUAGAUGAGGUCUAGACACAUCCUCAAAUAUAAGUAUUAGUAAGAGAGUUUAUUUGGGGAUUAAUACAUACUAAUUUAUUUUAUGUGUAGCAAACAGAAUCCACGC
rnacentral:sRNA from 1 species